GACGAACGCUGGCGGCGUGCUUAACACAUGCCAGUCGAACGGAAAGGCCCUGCUUUUGUGGGGUGCUCGAGUGGCGAACGGGUGAGUAACACGUGAGUAACCUGCCCUUGACUUUGGGAUAACUUCAGGAAACUGGGGCUAAUACCGGAUAGGAGCUCCUGCUGCAUGGUGGGGGUUGGAAAGUUUCGGCGGUUGGGGAUGGACUCGCGGCUUAUCAGCUUGUUGGUGGGGUAGUGGCUUACCAAGGCUUUGACGGGUAGCCGGCCUGAGAGGGUGACCGGCAACAUUGGGAAUGAGAUACGGCCCAGACUCCUACGGGAGGCAGCAGUGGGGAAUAUUGCACAAUGGGCGGAAGCCUGAUGCAGCAACGCCGCGUGCGGGAUGACGGCCUUCGGGUUGUAAAACGCUUUCGCCUGUGACGAAGCGUGAGUGACGGUAAUGGGUAAAGAAGCACCGGCUAACUACGUG
rnacentral:rRNA from 1 species